GGGGGUGUCAGUUUUGACACGCGGACAGCCCGGUAUGCGCAGGCGGAGCAGAAUUAACUCCUUAAUCUGAUUCAAAAUUUAAGUGCAGACUCAAAUGUCUCACGGAGCGUAGUCUCGCCGUAUUUUACGGUGAACGAUUUCGCUUUCGCUUACGUUCGAGCUUAAACUCAGUAAGCGGACACCAUCUUGGCCGCCACCCGGCACGGCUUUGAUCGGUGCUUCAUCUGCUGGAUUGUAACCCAGCACCUGCUCAGUGCUGGGCCAAACUUAGAGCUUGGAGCUUCUUGUGUUUUGUUUGAUUUUUAGCAAGAAGCUCGAGAAUCAAAAUCAUUCCAAGCCUGUAGACUCAUACCGUGCAUCCACAUGGACGAGGGCUCACUCCCUCCACCUCCACCA
rnacentral:tmRNA from 2 species